rnacentral:lncRNA from 1 species
GCGUAAGCAUGUUGAGCUACGUGGCGGGGAGCGGAGGCCGUGGGCUGCGGAACCCGGCGUGUCCUCCGGCUCUUCCAGGUGCAACAAAACCUGUCUCUUUUGAGGGUGCUUGAGCAAAUGUUUUUGAAACUUGUCCUGUCCUGGAAAGUGAUUGGAACAAGCUGCCAGAACUACGGUUACCAAUAACAAGCAUGUAGGUAGCUGCAGUGAACGUCCAACUUCGGGAGCUGUGAUGUUUAAUCCUCGUUGUUUUGGGUAAGUUUGUUCUGUCAGUCAUGUCCGUUGAUUGAAUAGUAUUUGAUAACACUGAGACUAGAGCCAAUUCCUUUUGAAGAACAUUAGUGUGAGCUUGAAGAAAAAUGAUUUUGGGGGGGGGGGCUUCUGACUGUCCUUUUCUUUUUGGAAGGUCCAGCACACAGUUUGGAAUGUAAAAUGAAGACUUGGUCAAGAAACCAUGAAGGGGGGGGCCUGGAGAGAUGGCUCAGUGGUUGAGCAUCGACUGCUCUUCCUGAGUUCAAAUCCCAGCAACCACAUGGUGGCUCAACAACCAUCUGUAAUGAGAUCUGAUGCCUUCUGGUGUGUCUGAAGACAGCUACAGUGUACUCAUAUAUAAUAAGUAAAAUAUUAAAAAAAACCAUGAACGGAAGCAAAUGGUGAAAAUUAGUAUUUAAUUUGGUAUCAAUAUGUUAUGUAGAAAUAAACG